GACGAACCAUGCGAACGUUAUUCGGAAUCACUGGGCUUAAAGCGCGUGUAGGCGGGAGGGCACGUCCGUCGCUGAAAUCCCCCGGCUCAACCGGGGAACGGGCGCGGAUACGACCUUCCUUGAGGGGCGUAGGGGGACCUGGAACUUCCGGUGGAGCGGUGAAAUGCGUUGAGAUCGGAAGGAACGCCCGUGGCGAAAGCGAGGUCCUGGACGCCUACUGACGCUGAGACGCGAAAGCCAGGGGAGCGAACGGG
rnacentral:rRNA from 1 species